UACGUAGGGAGCGAGCGUUGUCCGGAUUCAUUGGGCGUAAAGAGCUCGUAGGCGGCUUGAUUAGUCGGAUGUGAAACCUCCAGGCUCAACCUGGAGUCGCCAUCCGAUACUGUCAUGGCUAGAGUCCGGUAGGGGCCCACGGAAUUCCUGGUGUAGCGGUGAAAUGCGCAGAUAUCAGGAGGAACACCGGUGGCGAAGGCGGUGGGCUGGGCCGGCACUGACGCUGGAGGAGCGAAAGCCGUGGGAGCGAACAGG
rnacentral:rRNA from 1 species